CAAGGCUGCCAGAGAGUGAUCCGACAGAUGGAUGACUUCGCAAAGCAGCGCCCACAGACGGCCCAAUUGGAGAUUCUUUGAGGAGCUGGAAGGCAAACUUGGUUCAUGCAGACGUAAGGCACUAAUAUUUUCAACUGGGGUGCUCUCCACUGGGUGCCUAUUAAAUGCUCAGCACUUUGAAGGAUACCAGAGAAGUAAAGGCCUGGCCCCUGACUUUAAGGAGCAUUUUAUCCAGUUGGGUGGGACGCUACUGCAGACUGCUUUCAAGUCAAGAGCUGCCUCAUCUUCCAAAGUGGGAGUUCCCAGCAUCAGGCUUGUGGGGGUGGAAGCUUAAUCCGCCUCCUUCCAAAAACUGAGAGAGCUCUGUCCGCCCUUGAGUAACUAGAAGCGCGCCUUUGCUCAAGUUGAGAGCUGAUAUCAGGACAGAAACAUGUACUGCCAUGUAGAAGAGUAAAGAGUAGCGAAAAUACUAGAAAUUCCACCUUAAAGUGGCCAGGUUUUUAAUAAUUAAGGUACCAAUAAAUAUAAGGAAUAUAAAAUGGUUCUUAAGGAAUAUAACCAAACUGGGUUUCAAAUUGUUUUUUUAGGGACAUGGACAUAGAUUCCUAUGAAAGCCUUAUAUUUAGUGGUUAGGUAUCAGGUUUAUCCCUAAAACCUAUUAAAACUAUAUUGACUCUGAAAUGGCACUUUUAAUUCCCUUAAGAUUCCAUCCUUACCUACUCCCAAUGGAAGUCUUCAAGUUAUUAGAUAAUUGGAAAAUUGAGACUGGAGACUGAAUUGAACCAUGAACCAUGGGGGGUGAGGAGUGGGUGAAGGUGGGCCUUUCUUGGUUUAGCAGCACUCAAAUUAGCAUAAGAAGAAACUUAUGCUACUUCUGGGAGAUGACCCAGAAAAUGUGGCCAUCAAAAACAACAAUGUUCAUAUGUCUGAGUCCCAUUUAUUAAAUCUAUGAGUUAGUGACUGAAGGACUUAGGUUUCUUUCAAAUUAAGUUAAAUUCCAUUAGAAUAAGAUUGAUAACUUGGACAAAAUUUACUUUUAAGAUUCCUAUGAAAGGGACUCUAGUACUACUGUUGCACCUUAUCCCAUUCGGUCAUCAGAACUUGUGUUGGGCAUAUGGCCAGUCCCUAGAAAUACUUGCUUCAUGAAUUGAAUAAGACGAUUAACUAAGAUGACUGACAUGCCUUGGUGUAAUCGGCCUUUGCAAAGAUGAACUCUUCAAGGUUUGUCUAAGAUUUGAGAAGCCCACUGAGAGUGUGCCAACGGAUUAUUAAUGAGCACUCAUACAAGUAAAGAUAGUCAAUCCACAGCAAAACUUCAGCACUAAUGAGAUAAAAAGGCUUUGGGCAUAUUACCUAACCUCAAUGUCCUCAUCUAUAAAAUGUAGAUAAUAGCAACAACUAUCAUAUAGGGUUAUUAUGAGGAUUAAAUGAGACAAGGCACAUGGAGUAAUUAGAAGAGUGUCUGGCAGGUAGGAAUUAGGGGAAUGACUAUGCAGAUGCAUUUAUGUAGAUGAGCAGACCUCUAGGGUAACUCAGGAACAAUAGAAGGUCCUAAACAUACAGGGGUCAUGGGAACCCUACACUGUUUAUGAAUCUUGGCUGCAUCAUUGUGAACUAAUUAAGGACCAGCUAAGGCACCUGCCCCAUUCCAGAAGAAUUGGCACUGUGUAAGAUCCUGCUGCUGUGUGGUAUGACUUGAAAAUACAUGCUGAAAUGACUUUUCCUAACAGCCCAGAGAUAUGUGGCCAUGGAAUAGAAAUUGGGUUGAAUAAUAAAAAAGUCAUAUUUCACAACCCACUUUAGCCAUUAUUAUUAGGGAACCAAAUGAUGUAUCCAAAUAUCAAAAGAGAGAGCGGGGAUAAGGCACAAGGGGCUUGAGAAGAAUUUUGCUCUAGAUACAUUUUACUGUCCCAAUAGCCAUGCCAUAAUUUCUAAAGGAGCCUACGGGGAAAAAUCUGAGAAAGGUAAGGAACUCAUCUGAAACCUCUUUUGUAUAACAGCUUUUUUUUUUUUUUUUGAGACGGAGUCUUGCUCUGUCACCCAAGCUGGAGU